GAUGAACGCUAGCGGCAGGCUUAAUACAUGCAAGUCGAGGGGCAGCAGGUCUGUAGCAAUACAGAUGCUGGCGACCGGCAAACGGGUGCGUAACACGUACGCAACCUUCCCGUUACUGGGGAAUAGCCCAGGGAAACUUGGAUUAAUACCCCAUAUUAUAUUGGUUGGGCAUCCGACUGAUAUCAAAGUUUUAACGGUAACGGAUGGGCGUGCGGUUGAUUAGGUAGUUGGCGGGGUAACGGCCCACCAAGCCUACGAUCAAUAGCAGAUGUGAGAGCAUGAUCAGCCACACGGGCACUGAGACACGGGCCCGACUCCUACGGGAGGCAGCAGUAAGGAAUAUUGGGCAAUGGACGCAAGUCUGACCCAGCCAUGCCGCGUGAAGGAUGAAGGUCCUCUGGAUUGUAAACUUCUUUUAUCUGGGGCGAAAAUCGGGUAUUCUUAUCCGCUUGACAGUACCAGAGGAAUAAGCACCGGCUAACUCCGUGCCAGCCGCCGCAGUAAUAC
rnacentral:rRNA from 1 species